rnacentral:rRNA from 1 species
UACGGAGGGUGCAAGCGUUAAUCGGAAUUACUGGGCGUAAAGCGCGCGUAGGCGGUUUUUUAAGUCGGAUGUGAAAGCCCCGGGCUCAACCUGGGAACUGCAUCCGAUACUGGAAGACUAGAAUGCGGGAGAGGGAGGUAGAAUUCCAUGUGUAGCAGUGAAAUGCGUAGAUAUAUGGAGGAAUACCAGUGGCGAAGGCGGCCUCCUGGCUCGACAUUGACGCUGAGGUGCGAAAGUGUGGGGAGCAAACAGG